UACGUAGGUGACAAGCGUUAUCCGGAUUUAUUGGGCGUAAAGCGCACGCAGGCGGUCUAUCAAGUCUGACGUGAAAUCUCUCGGCUUAACCGGGAGCGGUCGUUGGAAACUGAUGGACUUGAGGCGAUGAGAGGGGUGUGGAAUUCCCGGUGUAGUGGUGGAAUGCGUAGAUAUGCGGAGGAACACCGAUGGCGAAGGCAAUCCCCUGGACCUGUACUGACGCUCAUGCACGAAAGCGUGGGGAGCAAACAGG
rnacentral:rRNA from 1 species